rfam:Halobaculum gomorrense strain DSM 9297 genome assembly, contig: Ga0131215_106
CUGGGAACAGCACGGCCGCAACUCUGACUCGCCCGCGGUGGGCUUGGGAUUGCGGAUGUGC